AAAACCCCAAACCCCUCCUUUUCAUCCUAGCACAAGCCGCUCUACAUUUCAGCUUUACUUCCAGACCCUUUUCCAGUAGUGUUUCUACUGUGAGCUCUGCAAGAGGUCCCUCCGCUGAUCCGCUGUGCAUCCUGGAAGUUUCUCCAUGCACAGAAAACAUUAAGAGGAGAGCAAGGAGUCAGCAAGUUGGCACGCCCUCCUGGCACAGACUGGCAAGAGGAUUGUAAAACUGAGAAGGGUGCUAGGUCUGUGCUGCUGUUUUAGGGGAGCGCUGCAGGUAAAAAACUGCCAGAACAUUCAGCUGGUGUCUGAAGGGCUACACAAACAGGAAGUUUUCCCUAAUUCUCCUGAGAAGCACAGCUUUUGCCACAUUGAUUUUGAGAGACGGAAAACACUGAGGCUGCAGGAAGCUCUCACUGCAGCAGCCUCCGUUCCACAUCAGAGCCCCGAGGCCUCCAUCCUCAUUAGAAAGCCUUUCCCAGGAGGCCAGGGCUGCAGCAGCUGAUGGCAGAUCCAGCAGUAACAGCCGGUGACCAAACUCCCUGAGCCCCUGGAAUAAAAGCAAGAAGCAGUACGUGAAACACGUGGUGCCUCAGAACAAGCCUCCUAAGCCGCCAGUUUGGCAGUCACCAGCCCUCCCCUGCACCUAGCUGGCACUGACACUGCUGAAGAAAAACGCAGCUCCUGGACCGCAUCAGGCUGCCCCUCCUUUUUGUUAGGUUAAGCCACAUGUGUAUGGCUUUCCCAGCUACAAGUCCUGA